rnacentral:rRNA from 1 species
AUCCCAUGCAAGGUUAAGCUGAUAAGGCGGAGCCGUAGCGAAAGCGAGUCUGAAUAGGGCGUUUAGUAUGUGGUUGUAGACCCGAAACCAGGUGAUCUACCCUUGGUCAGGUUGAAGUUCAGGUAACACUGAAUGGAGGACCGAACCGACUUACGUUGAAAAGUGAGCGGAUGAACUGAGGGUAGCGGAGAAAUUCCAAUCGAACCUGGAGAUAGCUGGUUCUCUCCGAAAUAGCUUUAGGGCUAGCCUCAAGUGAUGAUUAUUGGAGGUAGAGCACUGUUUGGACGAGGGGCCCCUCUCGGGUUACCGAAUUCAGACAAACUCCGAAUGCCAAUUAAUUUAACUUGGGAGUCAGAACAUGGGUGAUAAGGUCCGUGUUCGAAAGGGAAACAGCCCAGACCACCAGCUAAGGUCCCAAAAUAUAUGUUAAGUGGAAAAGGAUGUGGCGUUGCCCAGACAACUAGGAUGUUGGCUUAGAAGCAGCCAUCAUUUAAAGAGUGCGUAAUAGCUCACUAGUCGAGUGACACUGCGCCGAAAAUGUACCGGGGCUAAACAUAUUACCGAAGCUGUGGAUUGUCCUUUGGACAAUGGUAGGAGAGCGUUCUAAGGGCGUUGAAGCAUGAUCGUAAGGACAUGUGGAGCGCUUAGAAGUGAGAAUGCCGGUGUGAGUAGCGAAAGACGGGUGAGAAUCCCGUCCACCGAUUGACUAAGGUUUCCAGAGGAAGGCUCGUCCGCUCUGGGUUAGUCGGGUCCUAAGCUGAGGCCGACAGGCGUAGGCGAUGGAUAACAGGUUGAUAUUCCUGUACCACCUAUAAUCGUUUUAAUCGAUGGGGGGACGCAGUAGGAUAGGCGAAGCGUGCGAUUGGAUUGCACGUCUAAGCAGUAAGGCUGAGUAUUAGGCAAAUCCGGUACUCGUUAAGGCUGAGCUGUGAUGGGGAGAAGACAUUGUGUCUUCGAGUCGUUGAUUUCACACUGCCGAGAAAAGCCUCUAGAUAGAAAAUAGGUGCCCGUACCGCAAACCGACACAGGUAGUCAAGAUGAGAAUUCUAAGGUGAGCGAGCGAACUCUCGUUAAGGAACUCGGCAAAAUGACCCCGUAACUUCGGGAGAAGGGGUGCUCUUUAGGGUUAACGCCCAGAAGAGCCGCAGUGAAUAGGCCCAAGCGACUGUUUAUCAAAAACACAGGUCUCUGCUAAACCGUAAGGUGAUGUAUAGGGGCUGACGCCUGCCCGGUGCUGGAAGGUUAAGAGGAGUGGUUAGCUUCUGCGAAGCUACGAAUCGAAGCCCCAGUAAACGGCGGCCGUAACUAUAACGGUCCUAAGGUAGCGAAAUUCCUUGUCGGGUAAGUUCCGACCCGCACGAAAGGCGUAACGAUUUGGGCACUGUCUCAACGAGAGACUCGGUGAAAUCAUAGUACCUGUGAAGAUGCAGGUUACCCGCGACAGGACGGAAAGACCCCGUGGAGCUUUACUGUAGCCUGAUAUUGAAAUUCGGCACAGCUUGUACAGGAUAGGUAGGAGCCUUUGAAACGUGAGCGCUAGCUUACGUGGAGGCGCUGGUGGGAUACUACCCUAGCUGUGUUGGCUUUCUAACCCGCACCACUUAUCGUGGUGGGAGACAGUGUCAGGCGGGCAGUUUGACUGGGGCGGUCGCCUCCUAAAAGGUAACGGAGGCGCUCAAAGGUUCCCUCAGAAUGGUUGGAAAUCAUUCAUAGAGUGUAAAGGCAUAAGGGAGCUUGACUGCGAGACCUACAAGUCGAGCAGGGUCGAAAGACGGACUUAGUGAUCCGGUGGUUCCGCAUGGAAGGGCCAUCGCUCAACGGAUAAAAGCUACCCCGGGGAUAACAGGCUUAUCUCCCCCAAGAGUUCACAUCGACGGGGAGGUUUGGCACCUCGAUGUCGGCUCAUCGCAUCCUGGGGCUGUAGUCGGUCCCAAGGGUUGGGCUGUUCGCCCAUUAAAGCGGUACGCGAGCUGGGUUCAGAACGUCGUGAGACAGUUCGGUCCCUAUCCGUCGUGGGCGUAGGAAAUUUGAGAGGAGCUGUCCUUAGUACGAGAGGACCGGGAUGGACAUACCUCUGGUGUACCAGUUGUCGUGCCAACGGCAUAGCUGGGUAGCUAUGUGUGGACGGGAUAAGUGCUGAAAGCAUCUAAGCAUGAAGCCCCCCUCAAGAUGAGAUUUCCCAACUUCGGUUAUAAGAUCCCUCAAAGAUGAUGAGGUUAAUAGGUUCGAGGUGGAAGCAUGGUGACAUGUGGAGCUGACGAAUACUAAUCGAUCGAAGACUUAAUCAA